UUAUAGGUGUGUCUUAUACUCAGGUGCAUCUUAUAUGGCAGGAAAUACAGUAUAUAUCCUUUGUCUUCAAAAUACAAAACACCCUAGGAUAAGAGGUGCACUUGUGGCAAUAUGAGGAAGAGGAACUUUCAGCACAAGAGUGUGCUGAGUUCAGGCAGAUACUUCAAUGUGUACAAGCAUGACAUGAAGACUUAAAUAUGUUACAUCAUGGAAGCAUUUGUGAUACUUAGGUACCCAACAGGUCUACUCCACAAGCUCAGAAGAAAACCAGAAGAGACUCAGAAAAAUAAGAAUAAACAAUGUUCUUUGAAAAAAACAAGGACUAUCCUGUUGUGUCAUACUCCACAAGACCUGAACUGAUUUUCCAGUUAAUUAAGAGAAAAGUUCUAAAUGUGAUACAAAAGGAAAAAGGACAAGGGAUAUUAAGUAAAAAAUACAGUAUCCAGUGAACAAAUAAAGUGUCAUCUAUAUGAUUCCCUGUGGUAGGUGCUCAGCUGUGUAUAAUGGAGAAAUAUCCUAAGGCAUACAGAAAAGAAUAUACAAACACAGGAAUAACAUGUACCAUCAUAGGACUUUGAAUUAAUUGGUACUGGAUGCCUUGGAACAGGAUCACCUGCUAGAUUAGAGCAAGGCAGAAAUCAUGACCACUGGAAAGGCUAAAAAAGAUGAGAAAACCUUAAAAGCAGCAUACAUAAUUACAACAAAAAACAACCAACCACAAAGAAGGCUUCAUGUGUCCUGCACAGCAGCAAAACUCAUCAUAGCAACAGCUGAAAGACUGCCUGGAAAGAACCAAUCUCUGCACAGCAGCAAGACUCAUCAUAGCAACAGCUGAAAGACUGCCUGGAAAGAACCAAUCUCACAACAAGUUACAGGUUGAUUUGCCACAAGUGUAUGAAAGCUAACUCAGGAGCUGUGUGCAUUAGUCUCUCUGAGGAAGCAAUGGUGGCAAAAUGUUAGACCAGUAAAGUAUUCCUGUA